GAUGAACGCUGGCGGCGUGCUUAACACAUGCAAGUCGAACGCACAUAUCUUUCGGGGUGUGUGAGUGGCAGACGGGUGCGUAACACGUAGGUGACCUGCCCUCGAGUGGGGAAUAACCAUUCUAACGAAUGGCUAAUACCGCAUAGGCACAGCACAUCAGGUGUUGUGUAAAGCCUUCGGGCGCUUGGGGAUGGGCCUGCGGCGGAUUAGCUAGUUGGUGGGGUAACGGCCUACCAAGGCGAUGAUCCGUAGGGGGCGUGAGAGCGUGGCCCCCCACACUGGCACUGAGAUACGGGCCAGACUCCUACGGGUGGCAG
rnacentral:rRNA from 1 species